rnacentral:rRNA from 1 species
CCUACGGGUGGCUGCAGUAGGGAAUCUUUCUCAAUGGGGGAAACCCUGAAGCAGCAACGCCGCGUGGAGGAUGAAGGUUUUCGGAUUGUAAACUCCUUUUGUUAGAGAGGAUUAUGACGGUAUCUAACGAAUAAGCACCGGCUAACUCCGUGCCAGCAGCCGCGGUCAUACGGAGGAUACAAGCGUUACUCGGAGUCACUGGGCGUAAAGAGCGCGUAGGCGGGAUAGCAAGUCAGAUGUGAAAUCCUAUGGCUUAACCAUAGAACUGCAUUUGAAACUGUUAUUCUAGAGAGUGGGAGAGGUAGGUGGAAUUCUUGGUGUAGGGGUAAAAUCCGUAGAGAUCAAGAGGAAUACUCAUUGCGAAGGCGACCUGCUAGAACGUAACUGACGCUGAUGCGCGAAAGCGUGGGGAGCAAACAGGAUUAGAUACCCUUGUAGUC